rnacentral:rRNA from 1 species
UACGUAGGGUGCAAGCGUUAAUCGGAAUUACUGGGCGUAAAGCGUGCGCAGGCGGUUAUGUAAGACAGGUGUGAAAUCCCCCGGGCUUAACCUGGGAACUGCAUUUGUGACUGCAUAGCUAGAGUACGGUAGAGGGGGAUGGAAUUCCGCGUGUAGCAGUGAAAUGCGUAGAUAUGCGGAGGAACACCGAUGGCGAAGGCAAUCCCCUGGACCUGUACUGACGCUCAUGCACGAAAGCGUGGGGAGCAA